UUAAAUUGAAGAGUUUGAUCAUGGCUCAGAUUGAACGCUGGCGGCAGGCCUAACACAUGCAAGUCGAGCGGCAGCGGGAAAGUAGCUUGCUACUUUUGCCGGCGAGCGGCGGACGGGUGAGUAAUGCCUGGGGAUCUGCCCAGUCGAG
rnacentral:rRNA from 1 species